GAAGGAUAUCCUGAGUUUAUUCUAAGCUCAUAUUUGGGAAGAAGGAAUUUGUUCUGCUGAAUCCACACCAGAGAACAGCUCUGGCCCAACAGUGUAGACGGCAGCCGGUUGAUGAACUCUGCAGACAAGCACUUUCUCUAGUUGCUGGAUUUAAUCUGAAGAAUUUAAAUAAGAGCCGUUCUGAUGUGUAUAUUUCACAUUUCCCAGAUUAUACUUCGGUAAAACACAUAAUCCACUUGAGCCAGUUAAUGAAAAGUGGGCUUUUCAGAUAUUUUGACUAUGGCUCGAAGAACAUAGAUAUCUAUAACCAGACAACUCCACCGUUCUACAGGAUAGAGGCCAUCACUGUGCCAGUUGCUAUGUGGACUGGAGGACAAGAUUGGGUUUGCCGGCCAAUGGAAAUUGCACAAUUACGCUUUCGAACAACUAAUGUUGUCUAUUAUAAGGAGAUUCCUGAUUGGUCUCACUGGGAUUUUAUUUGGGGCAUUGAUGCUCCCCAACGUGCAUACAAGGUAAUCCUUGGCCUGAUGGAGAAAUAUCGAUGAAGCCAUCUGGAAUUCCACGGUUCUCAUUGUACCUGUGGAAGUGCCAGACACUCAAGUGUUUUUUGUUUCCUGAGUUUACGUUGACUGUCUUUAUUGUUCAUUUGAUUUGUGUUCAAAUUUGCUUAUCCUUCUGUUUUAUUUAUGAACCAUGGUGUGUUUCUUUCCUACUGAAGAAUUAAGUCUAGAUCCUACUGCUAACUUAAUGUAGAUCCUAAAGUUAUAAACAAUGUAACUUCCUAGGCUUUUAACUUGUAGGCGGGUUUGCAAGUUUUCUUAAAUAAAUAAAUCCGAUCUGAACACUG